rnacentral:rRNA from 1 species
AUUGAACGCUGGCGGCAGGCCUAACACAUGCAAGUCGAGCGGAUGAAGGGAGCUUGCUCCUGGAUUCAGCGGCGGACGGGUGAGUAAUGCCUAGGAAUCUGCCUGGUCUUGGGGGAUAACGUCCGGAAACGGGCGCUAAUACCGCAUACGUCCUGAGGGUGAAAGGGGGGGAUCUUCGGACCUCACGCUAUCAGAUGAGCCUAGGUCGGAUUAGCUAGUUGGUGGGGUAAAGGCCUACCAAGGCGACGAUCCGUAACUGGUCUGAGAGGAUGAUCAGUCACACUGGAACUGAGACACGGUCCAGACUCCUACGGGAGGCAGCAGUGGGGAAUAUUGGACAAUGGGCGAAAGCCUGAUCCAGCCAUGCCGCGUGUGUGAAGAAGGUCUUCGGAUUGUAAGGCACUUUAAGUUGGGAGGAAGAGCAGUAAGUUAAUACCUUGCUGUUUUGACGUUACCAACAGAAUAAGCACCGGCUAACUUCGUG